ensembl:lncRNA
UUUUUUUUUUUUUUGGGGGGGGGGAGCUCAGUGGUUAACGAAUCCAACUAGGAACCAUGAGGUUUCAGGUUUGAUCCCUGGCCUCAGUGGGUUAAUGAUCCAGCAUUGCCGUGAGCUGUGGUGUAGGUCACAGAUACGGCUCAGAUCCCUCGUUGCUGUGGCUGUGGUGUAGGCCGGCAGCUACAGCUCUGACUGGACCCUUAGCCUGGGAACCUCCAUAUGCUGCGGGUGCAGCCCUAAAAAAAAAGAAAAGAAAAGAAAAGAAAUGAAAUGGUCUAGUUUUUUUAAUGGUGAAACUUUCUCUAAAGUUUAUAUAAGGUGGAGUCACAUGAAAUCCCCAGUGUUUGAGCUGCAAAUAUGGCAAAAUCGUAUGGACCAAUCUAAUAAGACAAUCAGCCAAUAAUGAUUCAUUCCACUGAUUCAGUCUGAGAUGGAAAUGAACUAAUAGGAAGCAAGGCUCACUUCUGCUAUAAUAGCUUGGGAAAGAGAGGUCAUUGGGGCAGAGGAAGUGAUGUUAGGGGCAGGUUUCCCUGAAUGACCACUGAUUUUUCUCAUGAGUUGGGACUUCUGGUUCUGACCUGUGGUUUUUGUUCUAGUAUUCCCCAAGACCUUUUAAUGCCGCCUAAACAGGAGUCACGACGGGGCCCAGAAGGGUCAAGGCAUGAUACCUUGGAGUUAUAACACCCAUUAACUGCCAGCGCAUCCACCUUGGAGAUGCUAGAGAUGGUCAGGGGAAGCUAGAUGUGGCAGCCGAUGGCACUAAUUUCAUAGUUUUCCUCUAUUUCCUUCCUUGUUUCCAUUACAUUCCUUAGAAUAGCUCUGCCUCCUUUGCUCUCUUGAUUAAAUCCUGGGUUUUGAGUACUGGGUUCAGUCUGCAGAUGUUGGAAGCUUGGGAAAGACUUGCAUUGGUUGUUUCCCCUUAAUUCCUCUGGUUAAACAGAGAGGAAUCUUCUAGAUUCCCCUAGCGGAACUCAGAUUCACCAGCUGGACAUGAGGGGGUGCCUUUGCCUUAUUUUCUGUGAGAACCAAGGGGAGCCUGACUUCAUGUUAGAGAGGAGAGACUGGAAGGUGAAGCUUGAGAACAAGGAGGAUAUGUCAUUGGAAAUAGGAGCCAAAGUCCAGAAGAACAAGUCUGGGAACUGAAUUAACUGGGGGAAAGAAAGCUAUCAAGUGUAUUUUUACCAUUAGAUAGAGCAAGAAAUACUUUUUAAAACCAGGUCUUCCCUGGAUUCUGUCAUUACUAAAAGCAUAACCAGAGAGUAGCUUUUUCAAGUCAGAAAAAUAUUGGAAAUAAGGAAAAAUACUUGGCUUGCUGUACUUAGAACUCCACAUGACCUACAGUUAUGUAUCUAAGAAAGAGGCAAAGCCGUAGUAUUAGGAAAAAUUAAGGUAUAUCCAAACAUUGAAGCAAAGCUUCAGCCCCUUGUUAUUACCUCUGAAUGGUGCUUUAGAUUCUUUAUAAAUUUACUCCAUGAAUGACCUUAACCAAAGUUUGCCCAUGAUAUCAUUUGUUUCUUGUAGCAGCCCUGAGAAAAAGAAAGUAUGACCCAUUUAUAGAUGGAGAAAAUGAGCCUCAGAGAGGUUAAAAAAAAAAAAACCCUACAAUCAUACAGAUUGCAAAAUCAGUUGCAGAGAUGGAAUUUCAAUCUGAACUUGUCUGAUUCCAGAGCCAGUACUUUUUCUACCAUGUCAUACUUUUUUCCCUCUCUAGUUGGAGGCAUCUUUAAAAAGGAAAAGGAAUUAUGUGAAAUUCUUCUAAAAAAAGGCUAAAGGUAGGCCAAUGUCCCAUCCCCAAAGAGCAGCAGUAGAGUGUGACAUGGGAUACCAGCUUAGGUUUCUUCUAAGAGCAAAAAUGCAGAAUCCAAGGCCCAAUUCCACUCUCAGAAUCAGCAUUUUAGUCUAUGGCCAUACCACCUUGAACGCGCCCAAUCUCAUCUGAUCGCAGAAACGAAGCAGGGUUAGGGGUGGUUAGUACUUGGAUAGAGGAAUUAGCAUUUUAACAGGCUGCUCAUAGGGUGCAGAAUCUAAGGGCCCAUUCCAGAAUCAGAAUCUACUGAUUUCUAUAUUUAGAAACCCCCCAGGUGAUUUUUAAGCACAUUAAAGUUUGAGAAGCACUGCCCUAACCAUCUGAAAGCUGCUUCUCUAUACUUGUUCCGUCUCAGGUCCUGUAAGUCUUUGACUCAGGGAAGGAUCAUGGCUGGUUAUUGCCCUGGUAUCAAUUUCAGAGACAGAUCAUAAACAACAGGGGUCAUACCUUUGUUUCCUCUUCUUUUAUAUCCCCUCUUCACUCUCUAGUCUUUUUCACUUGCCCAUAUGGCAAUGAAGUCAGGAGAGAAUGAAAAAAAAAAAGAGUUAAAAUUAAGGAAUAGGAAUUUCUGAUCAAGGUUUUCUGUGCCAGCUUUAUGCUCCCUUCCCAAAUUGUGCUAAGUAAUGUGCCCAACAAUAUCAACCUUAUCAGAGAAUACCAGCAUCCUGACUGUUCAGCACACCCUUUUGAAAUUAUUAUAGCUCCUACAAUUACUUAGAGGUCAUGCACUUUGGGUUUCUCAUUCAAUCCAGAAAAGAGCUUUCUAGGUUUUAUUUCUGUUUCACACACAGCCAUAUACUCAAGCAUCUUAAGGGUGGCUGAGCAUAAGUAUGAUAAAUUUCAACCUUUAAAGACAAAUUUGAGAAAACUACCAUUGAUGGAACCCCAGGGCUUAGAGUGGCCCAUUUUGGUCAUGAGGCUGAACCAGCCACAUGUAACACUGGCUGCUUUUUACCACACAGGUUCCCUCUUAGAUAUGAGGAUUAUGGCAUUUGCUUCUGCUUUCUUUCGGCUUCAGUGAAAAUGGCCUUCCACGGUUUUUUCUGUCUAAUUUUUUUUUCUCUGUAUGAUUAUAGAAUGAUCUGUGAAGCAGAAAGAAGACAAAAAAAAUUAUAAGCUGGGUCUACUCUGUGGUCUCAACAGAAAUUCAGCAAAUGUGACAGGGGAGUCAAUGGGAAACCCAUCACCCGUCAUCAGUCUGUCACAUUGACAAUGAGCACCAUGCCUAAUUUCUGCAGGGUGUACUUUCAAACACGCCAACAUGUAAAUUUUUAGGCAGGCGUUAAUAAGGGAAACCCUUUAAAUAAAAAUCCAAAUUACUUUUUUUUAAUGGAAAAAAAAAAAAGAGAGAGAGACGUUCAGGACACUACCAUUUUUCUCUUCAUGGUGAAUCUGGCAGGUAACCAUUCCUUUCAGCACCUGCCCUCAGGUAAAAAGAAAUAUUGAGGUGGGGAAUCUUCAUGAGUUUAGAGCUUUAAGAAAAUCUGGGUGGUCAAAUGAUAUUAUAUACACUGAAGUGAAAUGAAGAGUGUUUUGUUUUAUGUGUCACAUUUUUCUUUCAGCAAAUCAUUGUCUUCCUCCAUGCUCAUUAAGAAACUAUUUUCUUCACAGGAACAGUAAUCCAGCAGUAGUUGAUAGCACAAGGCAAAACAGACCAGAUAAUGGGACUACCUCUUUUUUACAUUAGCAUAUUACCCCUUGACAUUCUGUUUCACUGACUUUUAUAGUGACAUACAGUUGUUUUUUUAAAGGAAAAGUUUAAUGUCUUCGGAUUUCAUUUGAGAUGGUAAGCUUAUAUUGAGUUAUUUCAGAAUAAGCUCAGAAGGAGAUCAUUCUGACUGAAACAUCUCACUUCAAGUGCUUUGUGAAAAUAUUUGGUGAAGUUAAUGCAUAGUAUAAGAGAUUCCACUGUGUAGGGUUGAUUUGAUUUCAUUUCAGAAAAGUCUUAAUCUGAAAUUAGUGUUGGUAAUGAUUUGAAUAUGCCCGAUUCUCUUAGCCCAAAAUGUGUAAUAUUUUCUGGUUAUGCCAAAUCAUGCUUUGUAUCUGGUUUUAAAUUACAGGUGUGUUGUGAAAGCAAUUUACUGAUUUGUGAUCAGCAUUUAUUUUUUUGUGAAAUGAAACAGAAUGGAAUAGAAUUGAAUAUAUGAAAGUUUAUUUAAAAAGUCAUUUUUUAAUAUAUGUGCAUAUUUAAAAACUGUGGUUCUCAUACCAAAAAAGUUUAAAAACUACUACUUGGUGAAUUGUGGCAUAAUCAUAAUAUUGUAUCAGCCAUGGUUGGCCCAUUGAAAACUUUUCUUUUUUCUUUUUUUUUUUUUUUUUUUUUUUUUUUUUGGCCAUGCUUCCAGCAUGUGCAAGUUCUCAGGCCAGGGAUCAAAAAUGGUGGCCUGAGCCACAUCUGUGACAGCAUGCACACCAGAGGAACUUGUUAAAAUUCUUCUUCUUAGUUUUUUUUUUUUUUUUUUUCUUUUUUUUUUUUUUUAAUUUUGCUGUGGGGGCAAGUUCCCUGGCCAGGGAUCGAAUCUGAGCCACAGCUAUGGCAAUGCAGAAUGCAGGAUCCUUAACACACUGCCCUGGACCUGGGGUCAAACUCGCACUUCAGCACCAAUGCUGGAUCCUUAACCCACUACACCACAGUGGGAACUCCUGAAAAUUCUUCUUGAAGUAACCAACAAACUUGCUAUUUUCCUUUCCACUUCCCAUUUACAUGGGGAUUUUCAAAUGGCUACACUUCUCCUAAAAUCUUUCUUUUUUUAGCCUCUUCUUUCUGGAGGCAGUGAUUGGUUACAAAUGAGGGAAAUAAAGCCACCUUCAAAGUUCAGCAUUUAUUGGCAAUGCAUAAUUCUAAAGAAGGGGAUAUUUCAUCUUUUUUCUGUAAAAUAGUAAUUCUAACAUGUGCCUUCCUCAUGCCUUUUUAGUUACCAUGACUUACCUUAAUCUCACCUUAAUACCAUGGUUUGACAUAGAUGCCUCUCUAGAGAGGAAAAGUAUCAUUCGGAAAUUAGGUGCAUAAAGGUUAUUAAGUUAAUAUUUAAAAUUCUGGGCUUAGAGAUCUUAUUGUACUUGUAAUUAAAUACCUUGAGUAGAAAUUAUAAGCUCCAGUAUAUGCAUAUGCUUGAAGCUGUGCCCAUUUAAAGGACAAUAAGAUUACAGGAGAAAUUCUUAUUUUGCAGGCUUCCUCCUAGCCGUAUUACUUAUGGCUACCACCAACAACAAUAGUGCUAAUUCAGAGCUGUAGAUAGCACUUGAAAAAUGAAAAUAGGGUGUUAUCCUGUAGCACAGCAGGUUAAGAAUCUGUCAUUGUCACUUCAGUUGCUUGGGUUGCUGCUGUGUUGCAGAUUUGAUUCCUGUCCUGGGAACUUCUACAUGCUGAAAACAAACCAAAAAUAAAUAAAUAAAUAACACAAAGUUUCCCCUUCUUAGAACCUUUUAAUAACUUGUUCCAAAUGCCAAAUAACUAAGCAUCUAUGAGGAACAGGCUGAAAUGCCAAGGAUUAUCCUUGAAGCGUCAAAAAUUGAGCUGCAUUAUUUGAUAUUAAUGAUACAUUUUCAGGUCUCAUAUCUUGGGUGUAAUGUAAAUGGUGAUAGAAAACAAAAACAUUGUCAGUGGACUAGAGUAAAUUUUACCAUGUACCCAAGGAGUGUUCCUAAUGCUACUACAUCAUUUCAGUUAGCAGCAAGAGUUUUGUCUUUGACCUGAGGAUUAAUCACUCUUGGGGACAAAUGCUGUUGCUGCUAUGUACUUUUUGGGUGUAGGCUAUGUUAGUAUGUACUCCUGGUUGCUGGUCUGAAACCCAGUCUUUCUGACCUAGCUUAAGCAAUAAGGGCAUUUGCUGACCCAUAUAACUGAGAAGUCCUAGGAGCUUUUGUUAUACUCUUAGGAAGGCCCUCUUGAUGUGAUGAUGACCACACUGGACCUUCCAUUCUACUAGUUUAGCAAUCCGAGUGGAGUUUCUCUUUUCAGUAGUUUUUAUAAAUCCAAGUACUAAGUUUAAUCAGAGUAACGGAUCACAUGCUUAUGGCUGAACCAGUAACUAUGGCCAGUGAGACAGAAUGGGGACUGAUCAGGUCUGGGUCUUGUUCCUAUAUCUAUCUUCCAAUGUCUGGAGGAGGAGCAGGCUCUUCAACGGAAAACAUGGACCAUUAUUACGAAGGCAAAUAUUUAUAUAGAAUGAGUCAAGGAAAAAACGGAAGAUGCUACUACUGAGGUCUUAACUUGACUAUUAAAAAAACUUCGGUGUCUUUAACUUUAAAAAAGCGAUGUUAUAUGUUUCUCUUCAUAAGUUAUCCAUUAAAAAAUAUGUAUUAAGCCAGGCAUGGGCAUUUCCUUUAACUUCUCUGAGCAUAUGAAUUGUGUGCAUGAUUUUUACCACGUGUCCAUAAUAUUUUAUUAGAUGAUUUUCAUCACUCUGGGUUAUAAACAGAUGAUUUGACUUAGCAGAGUACAGGUGCUAUUUUUAAUACUUAGUGCUCUCUGGAGGGCUUCCAAAUAAUAAUGGCACCUUUAAAAGCUUCGGAUUCCCCAAGGAGCAAUAAAAUUGUGCUGAGUAUUGUCUGUGAUAAAUAACACAUCUUCAUUCUCUACUCUUACAUAUUCCUACUUGAGAAAGCUCCAGAUUUCCUGACAUUAUCUCAGGGUUGAUUACCUAGUGAAGGUUAAUACUUCAUUGCUUUCUAUUUCUCCAUGUUUCUCUGUAUUUAUAUUGAAAUAAUGGGAGUGUGAUAGGCUUUUAAAAAUAUUUUUAAAAAUUAGGGAAAAUAAAAGCAUGAACACAUCAAUAAGGAAUAUAACUUGAAUUUUUGUUUUCUAAAAGGGAUAUAACUUAAUUUUUUCUUGAUCCAUGGAGUUCAGGGUUGAGGAGCCAAGAUCCCAGAGGAAAGGAGGCAGAGAGAAGUGAAUUCAAAAUGUUGCAUAGAAUUUUCCCUCAAGACCUUGUUAUGUACUCCUAGGGUAAAACCAAAAAAAAAAAAAAAAAAAAAAAAAAAAA